GACGUAGGAUGCGAGCGUUGUUCGGAUUUAUUGGGCGUAAAGCGUGCGUAGGCGGUCACUCAAGUCUGGUGUUAAAGCUAGAGGCUCAACCUCUGUGAUGCACUGGAAACUGGGUGACUUGAGUGCGGUAGGGGAAGGUAGAAUUCCGAGUGUAGCGGUGAAAUGCGUAGAUAUUCGGAAGAAUACCGGUGGCGAAGGCGACCUUCUGGGCCGCAACUGACGCUGAGGCACGAAAGCGUGGGGAGCAAACGGG
rnacentral:rRNA from 1 species